rnacentral:rRNA from 1 species
UUCCCCUAGUAGCGGCGAGCGAAGCGGGAAGAGCUCAAAAUUUAUUAAUCUGGGCACCUUCGGGUGUCCGAGUUGUAAUCUCUAGAAGUGUUUCCGCGUUGGACCGCACACAAGUCUGUUGGAAUACAGCGGCAUAGUGGUGAAACCCCCGUAUAUGGUGCGGACGCCCAGCGCUUUGUGAUACACUUUCAAUGAGUCGAGUUGUUUGGGAAUGCAGCUCAAAUUGGGUGGUAAAUUCCAUCUAAAGCUAAAUAUUGGCGAGAGACCGAUAGCGAACAAGUACCGUGAGGGAAAGAUGAAAAGCACUUUGGAAAGAGAGUUAACAGUACGUGAAAUUGUUGGAAGGGAAACGCUUGAAGUCAGACUUGCUUGCCGGAGCUUGCUUCGGUUUGCAGGCCAGCAUCAGUUUUCCGGGGUGGAUAAUGACGGUUUGAAGGUAGCAGUCUCGGCUGUGUUAUAGCUUUCCGUUGGAUACGCCCUGGGGGACUGAGGAACGCAGCGUGCUUUUUGCGAAAGA